GAUUGGCUUCAUCAAUAAUGGUGGUUCAAAUUGGUUGCUGACUCCAUCUUCAUCAGGACAACACGAGAAUGAGAUGCUUAUGUUAUGCCAAGCCUUUCCCAGUUUGUUCCAGCAGUGGUUCCUAGCUUUGGGAGAUAUCAUGUUACUGCAAAACUUUUAUCUUUCUAAUUCCUUUGGUGAGAAUGUUGUAGAUUUGGGUAGAUCGACGAGUGGGGAGAGUGAGCUUAUUUCCCCCCUUGCUGCUGUUCAGUUCCAAUGUGUGAUUUAAGCUUUAUUUUAUGCAGCUCUCCUCUUGGUUGAUGAUGAUUCUCUAUUGAGGUCAGAUUGAAUUUGCUAGGUUGUUAUCACUGUUAGUUGGAUUUAC
rnacentral:misc_RNA from 1 species